rnacentral:rRNA from 1 species
UACGGAGGGUGCAAGCGUUAAUCGGAAUUACUGGGCGUAAAGCGCACGCAGGUGGCUGAGUCAGUCGAUUGUGAAAGCCCUGGGCUUAACCUGGGAAUUGCAGUCGAUACUACUCAGCUAGAGUAUGGGAGAGGGUAGUGGAAUUCCCGGUGUAGCGGUGAAAUGCGCAGAUAUCAGGAGGAACACCGAUGGCGAAGGCAGGUCUCUGGGCCGAUACUGACACUGAGGAGCGAAAGCGUGGGGAGCGAACAGG